CCCCUUCCUCUCCCUCUCGGCCACAUUCUCUCUCUCUCCCCGAUCUCUCACUCUCUCUUCUCCUUCACUCUGCCACCACCGGAGACCCCAGCUCCGGCCACCAUCUCACCACACCGCCUCCACCCUUCGAACCAGAACCCAAUUCCGACCCAAACCUGACAAAAAUCACGGCCAUGCACCAUCGUCCUCCUUCACACGCGACAACCCAAGACUGCGCGUCACUGUUCCUCGACCCUCAUCGAUGUUCCGGCGAUUUCCACGCCCUUCUGCCGCCGUCGUUCUACUCAACAAGCAAAGCGGAGAAAAACCCAGAGACUCCUCUUCGCCGCCGACGCCUGACGAUGCCGUUCGAACCUCAUCGGAGCUCUCGGCUCUGCAUGUCUUCAUUCUCCGGUCUCCAACUCGAAUCGAGCUUUUACACUUCCCUAAACGAAGUUGGAGCUACACUAUCCUUCGAGACCCAAGCUCCCGACCUCUUCACGUGCCGCCGCUGGCGCGUCAACCACCGUAGCUCCGCCGCUCACGGUCGCUGGAUCGUCUCUGUUAGGUGAUUUACAUCAUCCUAGUCUGGGUUGAAGCCUCCAAUUCGAUUUAGAUUAAACACCUAACUUCUGUUGCUCAAAUUGGAUUGUGUGAGGUUUGGAGAAUCUGAGUUUUUGGGUUUGAAGAGGAGAGCCUGGAGCUGAGGUUUCGAUUGAGUCACCCUUGAAGAAGAAAUGGGAUUCGAAAGGUUGGUGGUGAUGGAGCACGACUAUGUUGAAUCGAGUCACAGUUUGGAAAAGAAGAAAUGGUAAGGUUCUGGGUUUUGAUUAUGCUGUUGUGAAACUAUGGUGGUUGUAAUAUGUUGUUUGAUCGAUGAAUGAGUGUGGCUAAUGUGUGAA